rnacentral:rRNA from 1 species
UACGUAGGGAGCAAGCGUUGUUCGGAUUUAUUGGGCGUAAAGGGUGCGUAGGUGGCAAAGUAAGUUGGAUGUGAAAUCCUGGGGCCCAACCUCAGAAUUGCAUUCAAUACUGCUUAGCUAGAGAGCUGUAGAGGAGACUGGAAUUUACGGUGUAGCAGUGAAAUGCGUAGAUAUCGUAAGGAACGCCAGUGGCGAAAGCGAGUCUCUGGGCAGCAUCUGACACUGAGGCACGAAGGCCAGGGGAGCAAACGGG